GAUCAAAUCAAGCGCGAGAAGGGCGUUUGGUGGAUGCCUUGGCAGUAAGAGGCGAUGAAGGACGUGAUACUCUGCGAUAAGCCGGGGGGAGCCGAGAAUAGGCUUUGAUCCCCGGAUCUCCGAAUGGGGCAACCCACCUGAUGGUUGGUUAUUGUUGACCGCUGGUUAUCGAUAAUCAUCCAAAACAGGUACUUGAAACCUGAAUACAUAGGGUUCCAAGAGCAAACCCGGGGAACUGAAACAUCUAAGUACCCGGAGGAAAGGACAUCAAUGACACUCCCCUAGUAGCGGCGAGCGAACGGGGACCAGCCGAGCCGUGAGUGUGACCGGAACGACCUGGAAAGGUCGGCCAUAGCGGGUGACAGCCCCGUACGGGAAGCAUGAUCGGACGUAUCAAGUAGGGCGGGACACGUGAAAUCCUGUCUGAAGAUCGGAGGACCACCUUCGAAGGCUAAGUACUCCUUACUGACCGAUAGCGAACCAGUACCGUGAGGGAAAGGUGAAAAGCACCCCGACGAGGGGAGUGAAACAGUACCUGAAACCGGACGCCUACAAGCAGUCGGAGCCUCCUUGAGAGGUGACGGCGUACCUUUUGUAUAAUGGGUCAUCGACUUGGUCUGACGAGCAAGCUUAAGCCGGUAGGUGUAGGCGCAGCGAAAGCGAGUCUUAAUAGGGCGCACGAGUUCGUCGGAUCAGACCCGAAACCGAGUGAUCUAGGCAUGAUCAGGAUGAAGGUACGGUAACACGUACUGGAGGUCCGAACCCACACCUGUUGAAAAAGGUCGGGAUGAAUUGUGCCUAGGGGUGAAAGGCCAAUCAAACUCGGAGAUAGCUGGUUCUCCGCGAAAUCUAUUUAGGUAGAGCGUCAACCGAAUACCCCGGGGGGUAGAGCACUGGAUGGGUAAUGGGGCCCCACAGGCUUACUGAUCCUAACCAAACUCCGAAUACCCGGGAGUACUAGUUGGCAGACACACGGCGGGUGCUAACGCCCGUCGUGGAGAGGGAAACAACCCUGACCUCCAGCUAAGGCCCCUAAUUCAUGGCUAAGUGGGAAAGCAGGUGAGACGGCCAAAACAACCAGGAGGUUGGCUUAGAAGCAGCCAUCCUUUAAAGAUAGCGUAACAGCUCACUGGUCUAAACAAGCUGUCUUGCGGCGAAGAUGUACCGGGGCUCAAGCCAUGAGCCGAAGCUGAGGAUGCACAUAGUGCAUGGUAGCGGAGCGUAGUGUGACAAAACCCAUCUCUCCUUAGCGUCCCUCGGGGCGUGUUGGAGAGUAGGGUUUGACUGUGAAGCGGGCGCGUGAGCGAUCCCGUGGAGUGAUCACUAGCGAGAAUGAUGACAUGAGUAGCGACAAAAGGGGUGAGAGACCCCUUCGCCGAAAGUCCAAGGGUUCCUGCUUAAAGCUAAUCUGAGCAGGGUAAGCCGACCCCUAAGGCGAGGCCGAAAGGCGUAGUCGAUGGGAACCAGGUUAAUAUUCCUGGGCCAGGAGGAUGUGACGGAUUGCGGACGUUGUUCCCCCUUAUCGGAUUGGGGGGGCAGCCAGGCAGUCCCAGGAAAUAGCCCUCCAUGAGAUCGUACCCUAAACCGACACAGGUGGACUGGUAGAGAAUACCAAGGCGCUUGAGAGAACGAUGUUGAAGGAACUCGGCAAAAUACCUCCGUAAGUUCGCGAGAAGGAGGCCCAGGUUCCAGGCAACUGGAGCUUGGGGGCACAAACCAGGGGGUGGCGACUGUUUACUAAAAACACAGGGCUCUGCGAAGUCGCAAGACGACGUAUAGGGUCUGACGCCUGCCCGGUGCCUGAAGGUUAAAAGGAGGGGUGCAAGCUCCGAAUUGAAGCCCAGGUAAACGGCGGCCGUAACUAUAACGGUCCUAAGGUAGCGAAAUUCCUUGUCGGGUAAGUUCCGACCUGCACGAAUGGCGUAACGACUUCCCCGCUGUCUCCAACAUCGACUCAGCGAAAUUGAAUUGCCUGUCAAGAUGCAGGCUUCCCGCGGUUAGACGGAAAGACCCCGUGCACCUUUACUACAGCUUCACACUGGCAUCAGGCACAACAUGUGCAGGAUAGGUGGUAGGCUUCGAAGCGAGGACGCUAGUCCGCGUGGAGCCUCCCUUGAGAUACCACCCUUGUUCUGCUUGAUGUCUAACCGCGGUCCGUUAUCCGGAUCCGGGACCCUGUGUGGCGGGUAGUUUGACUGGGGCGGUCGCCUCCUAAAGCGUAACGGAGGCGCGCGAAGGUUGGCUCAGAGCGGUCGGAAAUCGCUCGUUGAGUGCAAUGGCAGAAGCCAGCCUGACUGCGAGACUGACAAGUCGAGCAGAGUCGAAAGACGGCCAUAGUGAUCCGGUGGUCCCGAGUGGAAGGGCCAUCGCUCAACGGAUAAAAGGUACGCCGGGGAUAACAGGCUGAUGGUGCCCAAGAGUCCAUAUCGACGGCACCGUUUGGCACCUCGAUGUCGGCUCAUCUCAUCCUGGGGCUGGAGCAGGUCCCAAGGGUACGGCUGUUCGCCGUUUAAAGAGGUACGUGAGCUGGGUUUAGAACGUCGUGAGACAGUUCGGUCCCUAUCUGCCGUGGGUGUAGGAUACUUGAGAGGAGUUGCCCCUAGUACGAGAGGACCGGGGUGAACGAACCACUGGUGGACCUGUUGUGGCGCCAGCCGCAGUGCAGGGUAGCUAUGUUCGGAAAGGAUAACCGCUGAAGGCAUCUAAGCGGGAAGCCCCCCUCAAAACAAGGUAUCCCCGAGGACCGUGGUAGACCACCACGUCGAUAGGCCGGAGAUGUAAGCGCAGCAAUGCGUUCAGUUGACCGGUACUAAUGGUCCGAUAGGCUUGAUUUGAUCCAG
rnacentral:rRNA from 1 species